rnacentral:lncRNA from 1 species
CCCCAAUUUUCACUCUCAAACCCUAAUCAUUUUCAUCUUCUCAUCUAUUUUUCUAUCUGAAUCCCGCUAUACGUGCACGCCUGUUUACUUGCAGGUUUACACGGUGACGUGGCAAAGAAAAUAACUUAAUGGGUCAAGUGUCUUGAACCGGCCCAAAUUGAAGAAACCUUAGCAUUAUUCCACUUUCAGUUGCCCCAAAUGCAGAAAACCCUCUUUAAUGAAUCAACUAAUGCGAGGAGAUCUGAGGCUGCACUCUACAAUAUUGAGAAGAUGAUGCUUAAUCUAGUGAUCAUCUCUAUAAUUUUGUUUUCCACACUAAGUUAAUUACACGGUCGUGAGAAAUUUUUUUAUAGCCGCAAGAUUGAAGCCCUCUGUACGCAGCAAAAUUGCCCGUCGUUGAUGCCUUCUUCUCCGACGGAAUCUUGAGCAAAUAUUAUGUAAGUAUGAUAUUUGGUCAUUGUGUUUUACUGUGGUGAAGUAAUUUUAGCUUCAAGGAAUGGAAAAAUCUCACCCUCAUCUCUACUUCUUUGAAGAACCCGACAUACUGCGUUGCAAAGUUUUGAACUCCAUUUCGAAUAUGUGCAAGUUUCGAAUAUGUGAUAAUCUGGGCUAGUGUUGAAUAUAUGUUAAUCUGGGCACCGUUGGCUGCGAAAAGAUAUUAUGUGUGGUUAGGGGUGGAAAAUUGGACACUUGAACUCCAUUUGGACUUUGUAAUGGGAAUAUCUCUGUGGCUAUUGUUGAUUUGAACUUGUAUUUGUUUGUUAUCAUUGCCAAAUCUUAUCUUACUGCCAAAGGCUGUGAAGAUAUAAGGUUUUGAAUUAAAUUGUUUGCUGUUAAACUAGAAAAUAUAGCCACAAAUUGUGUUAAAUUUAACAAAUUCUGAAUUUUUGUUUGCUGUUGAUAUAGUUCUUGACAUUUAUUUUUUGUUUUAAAUUCGAAUUUUGUGAGUAACUCGAUUGCACUAAGCAAGGGAAUUUUGUUAAAAACUUGUAUAGUUGUUUAAUGUAAUGUAAUCUGUGUGUCGUUUGUGUGUAGUAUGCCAGGAAAAAACUUCGGACUUUGUCAUAGCUAUAGAGAUAAGGCCACUUAUUUGCGGAUUGCCCAAACAAAAGGCGAUGCCCCUUGUGUAAAAGUGGAUUUCUGAAGUGCUUCGAGAUCAAGAGGGAGACGAAGAACAAGGGAAAAAUGUUCAACUACUGUAGUGCUAACUAUAAAUAUUGGGAAUGGGUCAACGAGGGAAAAUCAAGCUGUGGAUCGAGUAAUGUUACCAUUAACUCGAAUAAUCAUGCAGCACUUGAAGAAGUUCAGUAGUGCUCUCGCAUGUUCCAAUCUCUUUGUCACAUGGUCUCCGAGGAAUGAAACAUUGAGAUUUCUUUGAAUGCGACAAUAAGGAAGGCCAACGAAAGUGCGGGAGUGGAUUUGAAAGGGAAGGGGCCAGCAUGAUUAGUGGUUAACUAAAUAAGUGAUGUGUAGUUGAUGUGUUGUGUUAUGUGCAGUUGAUGUGUAAUAUGUGCCGUUGGUGAACUAAAAAUGUCAUUGUAGUAUAUUCUCUCUUGAUGCUUGAAUCACUAUGUUAACGAUGUUGGUGUUGAUAGUAGUGGUUUAAAAUUUGUGUUCAUCAUAUAUUUUGCGUUCUUGAAAUAAAGACAGAGACGUACCACCAUGGUGAUUAAUGUUUCAGCAAUGUCAAUCUUAAGUUUAAUACGGACUGAAGCUUAAUCCCUAACUCCCAGUAAGACUCUCUUCCUUCCAAGCUGAAUUGUAAAGUCAGUAACUUUACUCUUGAGAGCUGGAAAUCUCCUAUGCCUAUCACUAGAAUUGUUUGAAGCAUUGGAGCUAUAUAUUUUUAGUUUUUAUGAUUUGGCUUUCCUUAUUUUUAAAUAUAGCGGAG